AAACACUGAUAUGGACCGAUAGCGAAUAGUACCGUGAGGGAACGGUGAAAAGAACCCCGGGAGGGGAAUGAAAGAGAACCUGAAACCGUAUGUCUACAAACAGUCGAAGCGCUUUACAUGCGCGACGGCGUGCCUAUUGAAGAAUGAACCGGCGAGUUACUGUUGCCAGCGAGGUUAAGCGGGAAACGCGGAGCCGAAGCGAAAGCGAGUCUGAACAGGGCGAUAAGUUGGUAGCAGUAGACCCGAAACCACAGUGAUCUACCCAUGUCCAGGUUGAAGCACAGGUAAAAAUGUGUGGAGGACCGAACCAGUGAGCGUUGAAAAGCUUUUGGAUGAGAUGUGGGUAGGGGU
rnacentral:rRNA from 1 species